rnacentral:lncRNA from 1 species
CUAGAUGGUGAAUUGCACUCUGAAGAGCUUCCUAAGCUUGUAAGAAAGUGAUUCUGAAAAGCUCAACAUUUUGGUAGAAUGGAGAGAUUUGACAUUGCUUCUGCUCCAAAAGCAAAAGACUUGGCUUAGGUGACUGCAGCAAGAGAUGUCCAGAGUCUCAACAUUGGGUGAUUGAAGAGCAGAAAGACUGGCAUGAAAUAUCUGUCAACAUAGCUCAACAAGGAAUCAGGAAGAGAGAGUCUUCAAGAUGGCUGACUAGAGGCAUCUGGUACUUGCCUCCUCCACAAAGAAGAACCAAAAUAGCAAGUAUAUUAUUACACUUCGAAUAGAUCAUCUAAGAAAGAACACUGGAAUUCAACCAAGAAGUGGCAAUAAAUACCUAAGGCAAGGAAGGAGAGGGAAAUCAGGCAUCUUUGGAAGGGCACCCUGGGAGUUGAGAACAUCCACCACAGAGAGGCCUGGCGU